rnacentral:misc_RNA from 1 species
CCCCCCCCACCCCCCCCCCCCCCACCCCAACCCUUCCCUCUUUCGCCUCCUUUCCUUUCUUAUUCAAUCCAAUUAUAUUUUCUCCUUUUCUUUCUCUUAUAUGCUUAGGUUUUUGAUCCUCUAUUUUUCCAUUAUAUCAUUGGAUAUAAUGUGAUGUCCUGUUUGGUUGGUAAGAAAUUCUAGGAAUUGAGAUAUGAGUUUUAUAAUGGCCGAUUUGUUUGCUCUUCAAUCGUAUAUAUAGUCAUUUGAAUUUAAUAAAGCUAGCAGGAAGGCAGGACGAGGGUUUUAGUUUUAUUUAAUCUUUCCGGUGAUUGCAUCGGAGGCUUGGCAUUGAUUUCCCGCUAACCUUUUUUUUUUUUUGUCCUUUUAAUUUAUUUUUAAUCGUCACCGAUUGAUCUUCAUUGUUUGGGUAUUUUGAGGUGUCAUAUAGGUGAGAUGUUAAUAACUAGGUUUCUUUGAUACUGGAACCCGUAUAGUCAUUAGUUUAAGGAGAAUUUGGUUAACUGAUGGUGAUUUAUCCAUAUCUCCAUUCUCCAUGGAAUUACUUGAUCGCAUCUCAGGUGCAAUGUGGUAAAGAAUUUAUGCAGCAUACAGAAAUUGUUCUUGUUGUUGUGGUCGUGGUCCUGGUCGUGGUCCAGUUUUGGGCAUCAGGGAUUAACAUUAAAUACUGCUUGAAUGAAUGGGAUUUGGGAUCGACAUUACUUAAUUUAUCACAAUUCAUGAAUUAACUACUAUUUUGUAACUGACAGCUUGUUUAUGUCUGUGGAAGUAUUUUUUUUAUACAAAUUCUAGCAACAGAGGGGUCAAUUUUUGAGAAACUUUGCAUAUGUUUAAUCUCUCUUAGACUCGAUUAAGUGGAUAAAAGGUGAAAGUAAGGAAUGGAGUUCAAGAAAUUUCAACCCUAUGCAGCAAGCGCUUGGCAACUUUUAUUUGAUAUUUAUCAAAAAUGUUCAAGGCUAGUAACUGCUUCUGGAGUAGUCAAGCAGCCAAAUGUAUAUGGUAAACACAUCUGUAUUAAGCUCAAUAUUUCGCAGAAGCUUCCUGGCACUUGUCCAAAGUGAUUUAAUAUUUUUGUUGUAUUUUGUGGUACUUUGAAGAUGCUUUGACACGUAUUCUACAUACAUAGAAUAUUUUUGAUGUAACUUUAUAAUGUUAAAAGGCAAUAUGAUUCUGUGUUAAAACUUAUUAGAUAUUUUCCUUGUCCAUGGUGUGCUAACUAUGGAUGUAAGAAUUUCGGUAUAUUCUUUAAAUGCAGAUAUUGAUAAAACAAGUAAUUUUGCACGUGCUUCUGUGUAUUAUUCUUCACACCUCCUAACAUCUUGCUUUUUAGGUUGGUGACUUAGAUAGGCCCCUUGUUUCAGAUGAUGUGGAAAGCAAUGAAUUGGCAAGAAAUUAUGAUCUAGAGGGAGCAUGUUAUCAAAAUGAAGGGCCAUUGCAUUUGUCCCGACCAGUAGGACUUGUUCAUAAACAGAGGCUUCCUUCUACAUCAGCCCAUUUGAUACAAGAUGUAGUUUCAGAACCUGCAGAGGAAAUUUCAGUUGACCAAACCUUUAAGUGUAUAUUUCCUGCUGAGCACCUAGCUGAAGUGCAGAGACAUGUUAGACAGGAAGAUCAAAGUCAUAUAUUGGGAUUGAGUCAGGAAAAUGAUCCAUUUCAGGAAUUUGUGCCCAAGGUUAUCAUUGAUCAAAGAAGCUGCCUCUCUUUGGAGGUCAUUUCUGGUCCUUCUAGUGGGGUCCGUUGUUCUGUACAGUCAACAAGUUCUUCACGGCUUCCGCUGACCCUUGGAAGAGUUUCUAGUGACUUGUUGUUAAAGGACUCAGAGGUUUCUGGGAAGCAUGCAAUGAUUAAUUGGAAUAUGGAUAAGAAAAAAUGGGAGCUGGUAGAUAUGGGCAGCCUAAAUGGAACACUUUUGAAUUCACAGCCUGUCAAUCAUCCAGACUCUGGAAGUAGACACUGGGGUGACCCAGUUGAGUUAACAAAUGGAGACAUAAUAACACUUGGCACAACCUCAAAUGUAUAUGUUCAUGUUACAUCUAAAUCUGAGAACGAGACACCUUUUGGUGUAGGUAUGGCAUCAGAUCCCAUGGCUUUACGUCGAGGAGGAAAGAAGCUUGCAAUGGAAGAUGUGUGCUAUUAUCAAUGGCCCCUUCCUGGCAUUGACCAGUUUGGAGUGUUUGGUAUUUGCGAUGGGCAUGGCGGAGUAGCAGCUGCCAAUUCUGCUAGCAAAAUGCUUCCUGAGAAGGUUGCCAAUAUUUUAUCAGAUUCACUGACAAGGGAGAGAGUUUUAUCACAAUGUGAUGCUUCAGAAGUUCUCAGAGUUGCAUUUUCUCAAACAGAAGCUUCCAUGAAUAAUUAUUAUGAGGUUUUCCCUUGGUCUUUCCUUGUCUAAGUCUCAGUGGAAAAUUUCUUAUUAAUUCAAUAAAAGAGACAGCAGCAACUCAGCCAAGCCACAGAUUGCCACUUUGAUGAAUUCUUUUAUAUUCAUGAAAAAAAAUCUUAAUAAAUUUUGUUACAAAAAUUAUCCAAUAUUUGAGGCUACAUGUAAAUUUAUUAUGAUCUGAGGUUCAACUCUGGUUUUAUCAAAGUUGAACUUUAGAGGGCCUUAUUGAAAAAUAGAGAUGGAUGGUCAUAUUUGACAGAUAAAUAAAGAGUGUACUAAAUCGGUUAAGGGCAGCUAUGGAAACCUUUAUUCGGAGCAGGCUGCUUAUUCCCUUCUUUUCUUUUAACUUUGUUAUUAUUUUCAAUUGAAAUGCCAUAACACCAAGAUAAUCCUUGUCCUUUUAUUCUUUUGUUGCUUUCAAUUUUAUAGGGUGUAUUGUGACACCCCAUUACCCCGAACAUAGCCUUCUUUCAAUAUUUUAGAUUAAAUAACAUAAAAUAGAUAAAAACAAUAAUAAUAAUGGUGAGAGUCAAAAUAUAACAAAGCUGCGCCAUUGUUGUGCCUUGAAAAAGAUGCCUAGGCAAUAAAUUGUGCAACUCAGUUAUUUACCUGGCUGACUGUGGUAAAGGUAGGUCUUGCUCCUUGUUUUUGAGGGUCAUCUCAGUUAGGCCACUUGGUGCGCCCUUAACAACCAUUACGGAUGCCAUGAAUCGGUUUGAUAAAAACGUGCACAAUAUUGUUGAUUGUUUUGUGGGAAUUCUUUCUGGUUGGUGUAACAAUUUGAAUUCAGAGCACCAUGUUGUCUUUGUGGAUUUUGCUCCUGGUAGCUGUUUGUUUUAUAUUGUGUACUAAGUUUUCUUUUUUGGUUAAUUUUAAUAGGCAAUUGGGAUAUUGUACAUUUUUGACAACCAGUACCGUAGAAUGUAUUAUUGUUAUUCUGAUUCAUUUUAAUGAACUUUUGUGAUAUUAAGGUAUACAGUUUUAACAUUACAACAAUCAAUUCCCUGCAGGGUUGUACUGCAACGGUGCUUCUGGUUUGGGCUAAUGGUGAUGAAAAUUUCUUUGCUCAGUGUGCCAAUCUUGGUGAUUCAGCUUGUGUUAUGAAGUAUGCUUUAGAUUCUCAUUUUGUAUUUCUCUACGUUGUUUGGAUGAUAUAUUUAAAGAAAAAAAAUGCACUAAAAUGGAAUCUCAAAUAGUCUCUCGUAGACAUGAUAGCAGAGUGAUCAUGGGCAGCUAGUUUUUGUUAUUAUGCUAUUAGGUUCAUUUGUAUAUUUUUCUAGGAAAGUAUCUUCUAUGGAGGCUACUCUUGUGACAGUGACUGUUCCAGGGUUAAAGAAAGAGGAUAGACAAAAUGAAAGUGCUAAAAUCUUGCCAAUGUAUGUCAGAGAAAGUGUUCACUGUUAGUGGUGGAAACAUAGGCAGCUAUAAUUAUAAGUUACGUGAACUGCAAGUUUAAUACAACAGAAGGUCAUGGUACAUGAAAAACACCACUAGUAGAGAACUACUAUUAUGUCUAUUGCCUAUGGCAUUUCCAUGGCAUUGUCCUAGUUGUUAUUUGCUAAGUGUUGCCUUUUAUUUUUCAACAUCAUGAUUGUUGUGGCCAUCUAAAUGAAAAAUUUUCUAUCAUAACUGUCUUUAAUACCAUAUUUAUAGCUGGAUGCAUUUUCAGUGUUGAUGGGAAGCAGAUUAAGAUGACGGAAGACCAUAGAGUAACUAGUUAUUCUGAACGACUUCGAAUCAGUGAAAUAGGAGAACCAUUGAAAGAUGGGGAAACACGGCUUUGUGGCUUAAAUCUUGCUCGGAUGCUUGGAGACAAAUUUCUGAAACAGCAGGAUGCCCGAUUCAGUUCGGAACCCUAUAUAAGUGAAGCUGUGCAUAUAAAUCAAGCAAGUGGGGCCUUUGCACUGUUGGCAAGUGAUGGCUUUUGGGAUGUCAUUAGUGUUAAGAAGGCAGUUCAGCUUGUGCUUCAGGUGAAUAUUCUUCUGUUAAAACAAUUAUCAUCCAUUGUGAAUUUCUGUAAAGUUUUCUUUCCAUGAAAUUCGAUAGAAUUUGGAACUUUUAUCUACACAGACGAGGGAGAGAUACUCUACAGAUGGAGAGAAUCCUGCUGAGAAGAUUGCUAAUUUUUUGUUGAGUGAAGCUAGAACACUACGGACAAAGGAUAACACCUCCAUAAUUUUCUUGGAUUUUGACAGCAAAUCUAGAUUAUCUUCUUGUGAACCUGUAUCUUGAUAUAAGUUAUGAGUUUUUGGUGUACAAUUAUGAUUUCUUUUUUUUGGGUUCUCUAUUGUCUGCAUUAAUCUUCUGCUUGGCGGUGCCAGUCAGACGGAUGUUUGCAUCAUCAAUAUGUGUUUCAGAGUUAUUGGUUCUCAUUUUGUUGUUGGAAGCCGCCUAAAGACAUGAUGCACAUUGCCUGCGAAAGCUUCAAGUGGAUGCAUGGUUGAGGGAAAUAAAGUCUGGUAAAAAGUAUAUAUAGUAUAGGUAGGAUUUCAACUAACGGUGCAAAUUGUGGGUGUUGAUUUUUACACACACAAUCAGAGGAUGCGAUAGAACGUACUUGUGAAAGAAUGACUUUGUCAAACAGAAUUUGCAUAAACCAUAAACGGAAAUUAGUAAUGUCUGACCAUCUUUUGAGUUUUCAUUGCGAAUGAACCACAGUGCAAAGCUAUUGAGUACUUGGGAAACUUGGGGCACUGACUAUCAAAACAAUCAAUAUUUCUUCAGAUAAGCUCUUAUUAUCGUUGAGGAAAUUACAUGCUUCAGUCCAAUGUUUGUGCAGAUUGGCUAGCUGCUGACUGUUGCCGUUAGAUAGAUUGAUUAUAGAAAAAAAUGUUUGGUUUGUGGUCAAGUUAAUCAUUUUGACUGUCGUCAUGUCACGUAUAGAUUUUUGUGUUUUAGAGCUGGAUCGAAAGUACGUAUUCCAAAUGCAAAUCUCUAACUCUAGCAUGGAUCUUCCGACGUUGCAACGUAAGUUAGGAAUGGAAAAUAAAAAUUUAAACGCCAUUUUCUUUUGGAAAUGGGAAAUUAAGAAUGAUUCAAAAUUCAUGAACUCUCAAAUUAUU